UACGUAGGGGGCUAGCGUUGUCCGGAAUCAUUGGGCGUAAAGAGCGUGUAGGCGGUCCGGUAAGUCCGCUGUGAAAGUCGGGGGCUCAACCCUCGAAUGCCGGUGGAUACUGUCGGGCUAGAGUGCGGAAGAGGCGAGUGGAAUUCCUGGUGUAGCGGUGAAAUGCGCAGAUAUCAGGAGGAACACCGGUGGCGAAGGCGGAUCUCUGGGCCUUGCCUGACGCUGAGGCGCGAAAGCUAGGGGAGCGAACAGG
rnacentral:rRNA from 1 species